GUUCAGGGGAGCACUGGGAACGUGGUUCCAGCGGUGCAGCCGCGCACAGGGCACUCCCCAAUGGCUGCCUCACAAACAGGUCCUUUUUAGGGUUUGCUGCAGCAAACUCUCCCUCCCUGGCCAUAAUCACGGCCUUUGUUUAACUCCAUUAGUUGCAGCACAUGGAUUUGUCCUCAGUUAGCCAUCAAGUCUCCAUGGAAUGCCUUUGGAACGGCUGCCGGUGUCUCCAGGUGCGGAAGCAGGCCCUGAUACCAGAGCAAAGAGCAAAAUGAAGCCAUAAAUCACCGUGACAGCUGAUCGAUGCAAACAUUGUUUCCGCCAUGAUUGCCAGCGCUCCCCGCAGACCCACUGUCCGCUCACAAUUCCCGGGAAUUACUCCCCGGCCAGGCUCCCCGGCCUCGCUCCGCGGCCGCUCCCGUGCCACAAGUAACCAUCUCAUUUCGGGGCUCCCAGCCCUCCCCCAGAACUGCAGAUAUCCCUCGUGGUGCCCGUUUGGGGCAAUCUGUUAAAGCUCGGCGCCCUUCCUCCCGCCAUCGCUCUUCCGGCCUAAAAAAAUGGGAUUUUAAACCUCCUGUUGUAUAAAAUGAUUCUGCGGGGUUGUAACAACGUCAGGCUCCAGCCCUGUCGCUUCCCCUUAACUAACUGGUGGCAAGUUGGAUGAAAUUACUUGACCCUUUAUCGAGUUCUGCUAAUGCCUUCUAAAAAAGAAAUUAAAGCCGCCCGCAGCGCGGCCCCCGGCAGCUCUCCGUGCACAUUUAAUUCCAGGGAAGAUGGAUUAAGUAGUUCCCAGGACUAAUUCACACCCAGGUGGCUCCGUGGUGCUCCUGGCUCUGGACGAGGCACCCAGGAAGGAACCACAGAGCCUGGAAAAUUCUGUGUGGGUUCUCAGCCUCAAUCCAGACUGGGAAUUCUGGAUUGAGAUGGGGCUGGAGCGGUGCUCCGAGGGAGGAGGGCUUCAGCACCCAGUGGGGAUGUGGCAAGGAGGAAAGAUGGGGUGAGUGCUCCUAGGAAAGCCUGAAUGCCAUGAAGGAGCUGUUUGCAUGGCUGAGAUAAUGUAAUAAAAGGGAUGAAAACAAUGGAGAAGUGGUUCCAGGAGAGCCUUAGGAUUGCUGAUGGAAUGUUGUCCCCGUGUGUGACUGAGAGCAGCAUGGGGACCCCAUUCUGGGACAACUCAGUGUGGUUGGACCUCUGACCUGUGACUCUGAAUGUCACAGCCCUAAACUGUCCCAGCCACCUCAGCAUCCUCAGGAAUAAUUAGGCUUGGAAAAGCCCUCUCCGACCAUCAAGUCCAACCACCCCAGCACUGCCAAGGCCACCGCUGACCCACGUCCCCAAGUGCCACCUCCCCAGGGCUGGCAAACCUCCAGGGAUUGGUCUCCACCACUGCCCUGGCACUGGACAAGCCCUUUGGUGAAGAAACUUCCCAAAUAUCCAACCUGAAGCUCCCCUGGCACAACUUGAGGCCGGUUCCUUUGUCCUGAGCACAGCAAGUGUGUCCCACGUCACUGGGGAGUGCCAGUGGAGAGGGGGAACAACAAAUGUGCACAGUGCAAAUGCAUCCAGCAGACCCCUGCCAGGGAAUAACAAGACACUUCCUAAUGUUAAGGUUUCAGAGCUGGAUCAUUUUAGACACCAACGAUGCUGUGUUAUGAGCCCUGGAACUCCCCUGUCAGGAGCAGAAGAGGCAGCACCUUCCCCUGGCUGGUUAUGGAUGAGUGAAAACUGGGGAAGCAGCAAGAGAGAUCCAAGCUCCGUUUCCUCCCAUCAAACACCAGGUGCUCCAUCCUGUCACAGCCUCUCCACUCUGCAGCAAAUCCGAGGAGUUCCGUGGAGGAAUUCCAUGUGUGACCUCUCCCAAGGAGCCAAAAUUCACCCCCCUGUGCCUGCCUCGGCCACAGCCCCCGAUUUUCCUCGCACAGGACGGGUCCAGGGAGCUCACCAGGGAUUGUGUGGGAAGGGUGAGGAGCUGCAGGGCAUCCAUCCCAUCCCAUCCCCAUCCCCCUGGGGCUGCUCCCAGCAAUCCCAGCUGGAUCAAUGUGGGAUCGUUAGGGAGCAGGGACAGCGCUGGAGGUGACCAGAGACACGGCAAGGAUAACAAACCCCGCCUGGCGAGGGUCUGAUGGAUCAGAGCCUUUAAGGAGAGCUUAAAAAAUAAAAAUAAAAAUAAAACCACCUCUGCAUCA